AUGCUUACCUGGCAGGGGUAAUACCGUGAUCAUUUAGGUGGUUUUCUCAGGGUGAAGCUCAUUCAUUGCACUUUGGGUGUGCUAAGCCCUAUGGUCUCCCCAAAUGGAGGAAACUCGACUGCAGAAUUUGUGGUCAUUGGGAAUUGCAUCCAUGCUCUCUCCUG